UAUUUCAGAGGGUAAGGAAGGGCACAUAAAAGGUGGAACAAGGGUGAAUAAAUACAACAGUGAUGUUCACUAGACACUAAGUGAAAAAUGUAUAU